CUUGAUGUGUAGGAUAGGUGGGAGGCUUUGAAGUGUGGACGCCAGUCUGCAUGGAGCCGACCUUGAAAUACCACCCUUUAAUGUUUGAUGUUCUAACGUAGGCCCCUUAUCGGGGUUGCGGACAGUGUCUGGUGGGUAGUUUGACUGGGGCGGUCUCCUCCUAAAGAGUAACGGAGGAGCACGAAGGUUGGCUAAUCCUGGUCGGACAUCAGGAGGUUAGUGCAAUGGCAUAAGCCAGCUUGACUGCGAGCGUGACGGCGCGAGCAGGUGCGAAAGCAGGUCAUAGUGAUCCGGUGGUUCUGAAUGGAAGGGCCAUCGCUCAACGGAUAAAAGGUACUCCGGGGAUAACAGGCUGAUACCGCCCAAGAGUUCAUAUCGACGGCGGUGUUUGGCACCUCGAUGUCGGCUCAUCACAUCCUGGGGCUGAAGUAGGUCCCAAGGGUAUGGCUGUUCGCCAUUUAAAGUGGUACGCGAGCUGGGUUUAGAACGUCGUGAGACAGUUCGGUCCCUAUCUGCCGUGGGCGCUGGAGAACUGAGGGGGGCUGCUCCUAGUACGAGAGGACCGGAGUGGACGCAUCACUGGUGUUCGGGUUGUCAUGCCAAUGGCACUGCCCGGUAGCUAAAUGCGGAAGAGAUAAGUGCUGAAAGCAUCUAAGCACGAAACUUGCCCCGAGAUGAGUUCUCCCUGACCCUUUAAGGGUCCUGAAGGAACGUUGAAGACGACGACGUUGAUAGGCCGGGUGUGUAAGCGCAGCGAUGCGUUGAGCUAACCGGUACUAAUGAACCGUGAG
rnacentral:rRNA from 1 species